GAGGGAGUAGCUCAGUGGUAGAGCACGUGCUCGGCACGCCCGAGGUCCUGGGUUCCAUCCCCAGUCCCUCC
rnacentral:tRNA from 1 species